rnacentral:rRNA from 1 species
AUUGAACGCUGGCGGCAUGCCUUACACAUGCAAAUCGAACGGUAACGCGAGGCAACCUGGCGACGAGUGGCGAACGGGUGAGUAAAGCAUCGGAACGUGCCCAGUAGUGGGGGAUAGCCCGGCGAAAGCCGGAUUAAUACCGCAUACGACCUAUGGGUGAAAGGGGGGGAUCGCAAGACCUCUCGCUAUUGGAGCGGCCGAUGUCAGAUUAGGUAGUUGGUGGGGUAAAGGCCUACCAAGCCGACGAUCUGUAGCUGGUCUGAGAGGACGACCAGCCACACUGGGACUGAGACACGGCCCAGACUCCUACGGGAGGCAGCAGUGGGGAAUUUUGGACAAUGGGCGCAAGCCUGAUCCAGCCAUGCCGCGUGCGGGAAGAAGGCCUUCGGGUUGUAAACCGCUUUUGUCAGGGAAGAAAUCCUUUGGGUUAAUACCUCGGGGGGAUGACGGUACCUGAAGAAUAAGCACCGGCUAACUACGUGCCAGCAGCCGCGGUAA